UACGUAGGGGGCUAGCGUUGUCCGGAAUUAUUGGGCGUAAAGGGCUCGUAGGCGGUUUGUCACGUCGGGAGUGAAAACUCAGGGCUCAACCCUGAGCGUGCUUCCGAUACGGGCAGACUAGAGGUAUGCAGGGGAGAACGGAAUUCCUGGUGUAGCGGUGAAAUGCGCAGAUAUCAGGAGGAACACCGGUGGCGAAGGCGGUUCUCUGGACGGUACUGACGCUGAGACGCGAAAGCGUGGGGAGCGAACAGG
rnacentral:rRNA from 1 species